rnacentral:rRNA from 1 species
GACGAACGCUGGCGGCGUGCUUAACACAUGCAAGUCGAACGGAAAGGCCCUGCUUUUGUGGGGUGCUCGAGUGGCGAACGGGUGAGUAACACGUGAGUAACCUGCCCUUGACUUUGGGAUAACUUCAGGAAACUGGGGCUAAUACCGGCUAGGAGCUCCUGCUGCAUGGUGGGGGUUGGUAAGUUUCGGCGGUUGGGGAUGGACUCGCGGCUUAUUAGCUUGAUGGUUGGGUAGUGGCUUACCAAGGCUUUGACGGGUAGCCGGCCUGAGAGGGUGGCCGGCCACAUUAGGCCUGGGAUACGGCCCAGACUCCAACGGGAGGCAGCAGUGGGGAAUAUUGCACAAUGGGCGGAAGCCUGAUGCAGCAACGCCGCGUGCGGGAUGACGGCCUUCGGGUUGUGAACCGCUGUCGCCUGUGACGAAGCGUGAGUGACGGUAAUGGGUAAAGAAGCACCGGCUAACUACGUG